rfam:Gossypium raimondii Chr08_contig_320, whole genome shotgun sequence.
AUUCCAUGAUGGGGACACUUCCUCAAUAGUGACUUAAAUUGAUCCCAAGCCUCCUACAAUUUUUCACCUUUUAAUUACUUGAAAUGUGUGAUAUCACGUCUGAGCU